rnacentral:tRNA from 1 species
GCCGAUGUAGCUCAGUCGGUUAGAGCAGCGGAAUCAUAAUCCGCGUGUCCGCAGUUCGAAUCUGUGCAUCGGCAUCA